UCUUUCUCUUCUGUUUUACCAGGCAUAACUACAAUGCUGCUGAGAUGAAUAAUUUUUUUCAGGGCAUAUGGGGAAGAGGAAGAAAUGAGUGGAUGAUUAGUUGAUUCCAAUUGUCCUGUCUCGGUUUUCAUUGUCAUAUGCAACCCCAGACCUUCCCUGCCCAGGUACAGACAAUGUGUGGGUAGAAAGGAUUUCUUUGCAUGAUUCCGAUGAAAUUGGAAAACUGACCUGAGUAUUUCCAUCGUUAAUUCUUGGCAAUCCUGUUUGUAAAAUAUGAGUCAUUGACUGGCCUUGUUGAGGAUAUCUCUGGCUCAGGAAUUCUUCCUCCUUUGUAUACCUGACUAUAAGAAAACUUAGUCAGGGUAUACUUGAGUGACCUUCAGUGGUACCGAGGCAGUGAGGUCAUCUCUGUCUCAGCUGACUGGCUAUCGCCUGGGUUGUACAAUGCCAAGGGCUACCUAUGCAGAUUCCCAAGUGGAAUUAUAGGAACAAGUCUAUGUCAAUGGUUAACCCAAGUUCUUGGUGUCUGGAGCUUUUCUUCCCUUUAUUAUUAACCAAAGAACAUUCUUACCAUUGCCCAGCUGAGAACAGCCAGCUCAUAGCUUCUCAAUGGGAGAGGAUGCAUAAAGGUAAGUAUCAUAGCAUUUUACUGUUAUGUAGCCAUUUGUCUGAGAUUUUUUUCUUGCCAUCCUCUUUGUUUAGAAAGCAGCAAUGGUCUGUGUUCAGCAAGGCAAAUAUUAAUGCUGAAUUAAAUGCUGGUGAAAAUGGUCUCAUUUCUUAUACAAGUGUUUAAAGUUGGAGUCAGGUUGUAUGGCAUAUUAAUUCAUUUCUUUUGAGGCUUUGGGUAAAAACAGUCUUUGGUGUUGAGAUAGUCUGUUAAUAUACUAUAUGUGUAGAUAAAUAGAUAUAGAUAGGUAGAAGUGGAGAGAGAGAUAGGUAGGUAGGUAGAUAGAUAGGUACGUAGAUAGAUAAAUGAUAGUUAGAUAGAUGAUAGUUAUCUCGGUAAUCUCAUUGUGUUCAUACCAUAUGGAAUAUUGUAUAAUUCAUUUCAAAGCCAGAUUAUUGGAUCCUGUAUUUAGCCAUAUGUAUUUAUUAACAUGCAACUUCAAGCAUUAAAAGUGUGUGUGUACCAUAAAAUCAACAUGAAAAAUAGAUGAAUAUUAUCUUAGAGAAAACUCAAUGUUGAUUCUUCUAGACUUGUCUCAAUGUAAAAUAGAAAUAAAUAUUUCUUCUAGAGCUUUCUUUGCUCCUUUGUUUUCCUGUUUAUUAUUCUCUUAGAAUGCUUUAUAUAAGUAUAAUUUUGAAGGAUUUUAUGUGGCCAUUUGAUUCUAGAUUAUAUUUCAUAAUAUAUUUGACUUUUUUCAUUGACAAAAGAAUCCAGUUGUUCCUUUUUCUUUUUUUAAGAAGUGUGUUUUUAGCCAGCCUGACAAAAACACAUAUUGCUUUAGGAAAAAUUUAAUUUUUAUUUGGUUCCAAUUUUAGAAAUCAGAAGACCUUUUCCAUCCCAUCAGUAAUCGCGUAUUGAAUCCUAGUAUUCUAGAGAAUCUCAUGCCCCAAAUAAUCAAGACCAGGUCCUGCCCCAAAUAUCUGGCCAGAAAAAUCAAAUCUGUUAAGGGCAAGACUAGUAAAGGGCAAGGCAAUGAUCUGGUACCCAGAGAACAUGUCAAAGAAAUCAGCAGAACUUUUGUCCAGAAAGCAAGAAAUUUGAGUCAAAUUUGUGACAGGUUGGUGUGGUCAUGAGUGUGUGGUUGGAAUUCAAAACAUUUUCAGACGCUGACAGAUUGUUUUCACUCUGAAUUCACUCACCAGAUUUUCCAUCCUGAAAAUCUUUCUAACUUUCCCAUUUCAUUAUUGUCUUUUCUUCCCUAUAAUUUGGUCACUAUAUUAGUCAAGGUUCUCUAGAGAUGUAGAGGUUCUCUGCAUGUAUGGAGAAGGAAGGGCAGCAAGGUGUGUCUGUGUGUCUGUUUGUGUGUGUGUGUGUGUGUGUGUGUGUGUGUGUGUGUGUGUGUGUGAGAGAGAGAGAGAGAGAGAGAGAUGGGAAACAGUAUGGUAAGAGGACAAUAUAGAAGAGAGUGUAACCUCUGUGGCAACUUGCAUGAGAGGAAGUUUAUAGUGUCCUUCCUUCUUAGGAUUAUGGUUCCAUGACUCUCCCUGUUUAUCUGUGGCUGAUUCAGGAAACAAAGAGAAUUUAUGAGGACAACCUGAAUACCGAGAAACACUAGACGAAUCUAAUUAUCUAACUAGUGAUGUUUUUAUUCAUUAUAGAGGAUACUUUGGUUAAGCUGGGAGGUGGUUUUCUGAAGAACUACAGCGGUAUCCAGAAUAGGAAUGCAAAAAUUGCUGAUCAGAGCUCUUCAUCCUUCUAUGCUUUACUAUGCUUUACUAUAUAUGUUGCUGUUGACUCAGGCUACCCUUUUGGGAGCCAGUGAUCAGUGUCUUUUCACACCUGGAUGGAGUUCACCUACAAGAACCCUGUUUCUUGGUCUAGCAAGGAUUGAGUGAGAUAGACUAGGGGAGGCAUUGUGAGGCACCAGGCAGGAUACUGGGUUUAAGUCAGAGGUCCUCAUUCUACCAGUGCAUUGAUUAUUCUUGGACAACAAACCAUUCUCUGUGAUUAGCUUCCUCAUCUGUCUGUUGAAUGAUGGCUCUCUUCCACUUUGCAUGAGACACAUAAAAUGACUCCCAGAUCUCAGGCUAACCCAGACCUAGGGAGAGAAUAGAAUUAUGGGGCUGGUACUCCCCAGUUUAGCUCGAUUGGUUCAACCCAACUGUUUCAUGUUUCAUAUCCCACUUAAGAGAUGGACAAAUGGCGAAUGCAGAGUUUCCUAUGUGCAAUGCUUCACUUCAUAGAAGCAGAGUCUUCAUCUGGUGGGUGUGGUAAGAGGACUGCACUUGCCUCCCUCACAGGGACAGUGUGACAUCCAUACAUGUGGAGCUCUAUAUUGGUUCCACUGUGGUCUGCUUCUGUUGCAGUGAGUUCGGGCUCUGUAGAAGUCACUGGCUCUUCACCUUUUCCUCAUAUUAGAAUGGUGGUGCUGAAUGGAUAGCAGCUACAGGAACUAGCUAACUGGAGGAAAGAUCCUUCAUAGAAUGAAGUCCAAUUUUCCAACCCCCCAUCCACUUUUCCCAGAUAACAUUUUUCCUGCUUUCCAAUGACGCAGUCCCUGGAAGCCUAGAAAAAUCAACAGAGGUAUACCAAAGAGAAAGAAUAGUAACAAUAUGUGUUUGUUAAUAACUGAAGGAAUAUAGCAAACAGGCUCUCAAAAGGUCAGACCAAAUCAAUGUUAGGAAAAAUGACUCACCAUCAAACUAUAUUCUAUUGAGUUUUUCUUCUGUUUCUUUAUUAGUUUGUGUUUGACCAAUUUUUUUACCCCAAUCUUCUGCCUCAAUUCUCUUUCCUCCAUGUGAUCUAGUAGGGUGGAUUUUGUAAAUUUCCUAUCGCCAUGUUCUACCGAUAUCAUCAAGUGCCACAAUAAUUGUUUUAAUAUUUUCUUGAAUCAUUUGUCUCUACCUUCCAAGAAUUUUGUUACCCAAGUCAUGAAAACAAUGCUAUUUCUGUGUCUUUCACAAACAAUAUGAGAGGCUGUGAGAAUCAAAGCUUCGUUUACUAAGUUACAGGUGAUAAUUCACAACUUCAUGGUACUCUCACUUCUCUGAGUUAGCAUAAUGUGUAAUCGAAGGAAAGCAGUGUUUCACUGAUGUGGAAAAAUGAAAUAGUUAUUUAUUUUUU